rnacentral:rRNA from 1 species
AAUAGAAAUUAACGAAGAUACUCUUAGUAACGGCGAGCGAAAAGAGUAAAGCUCUUCAUCGAACUUGAAGUUUACUUCAGGAAUGUGAUGUGAGUGGCUAGAAUUGAGAGCGCGAGGAAGGAUUUGGAAAGAUCCACCAUAGAGGGUGACAGACCCUUUGCCGCGGAGCUCAUUUCGAUCAGCCGCUCUCGAAAGAGUCGCACUCUCUGGAAAUAGAGUGCUAAGAAAGGUGAUACAUCUCAUCUACGGCUAAAUAUAUCUCCGAAACCGAUAGCGUAAAAGUACCGUGAGGGAAAUUUGAAAAGAACUUUGAAAGGAGAGUUAAACAGUACCUGAAACCGAUAAGGAGGAAGUGUAUGUACUAAGUUAAGCAGUGUGCACAUGCGCACCGUUUUAGCGUUCACUCUACCUUUCCGCAUGUACAACGUAUCGUUAUCAGCGGCUUCGUUGAUUCGGUUCAGAAUGUGUGUUUUGGUAGAUUAUGAGAUAAAGUGUACUUAAUUGAGGAUUUGCGCAAGUGCGUUAACAACGNGUAUUUGUGCGGCUCUGCAAAUGAAUAUACUUCGCUCACGAAGAACGACAAAACUAGUACAUACAGCCCGUCUUGAAACACGGACCAAGGAGUCUAACGCGUGCGCAAGAGAAAAGGUGUAAAACCUAUUCAUCGAAGCGAAAGCGAUUGCUAUCUAAUGAAACCGAUCAUAACCAUUGGUGUAUGCAUCGAGUUGAAGUGCACUCGUUAGGACCCGAAAGGUGGUGAACUAUAUCUGAGUUGAGUGAAGCCAGGGGAAACUUUGGUGGAAGCUCAAAACGGUUCUGACGUGCAAAUCGAUCGUCUAACUUGGAUAUAGGGGCGAAAGACUAAUCGAACUA